AAGAUUCUAGUAAAACAGCAUUACAUCACCUUGUCAGGGUGAUAUUGUGGGUUUAACCCCCACGAGUCUUA
rnacentral:tRNA from 1 species